AGAGGGGGGGUCCUCUAAGGCUUUAGUAAAGGUUUCCAUCGAGGUCAGGCAUAGGUGCAUUGUAGAGUCCAAAGCUUCGAUGGAUUUUGAGGAUGAGUUCGUUGAAGCAUCUUUAGUUACCUUCAUCUGGGGGUUCUAGGAUUGCAAGGCACACCUACAAUGGAUGGUCCCGAAGCUGGACUAAAGAUGCCUUCACUUCGAGAAUAGUGAUGAAGAAGUCGGAGCAUUUUUCUUAGAUGAAGACUAGAUCUUCUCCUUUUUUGUACUCAUUUUCGAUGCCUUCUUUUUGGUAUCAUUCUAUAAAUAAAUUUUUAGUUAAUGAAAAAUAUGUUUUCAUUGUAUUUACCUUUCAUAUGAAGCCUUUUGUUUUUUGUGAUGUUUUGUGUGGGUCUGCUCUUUGCCUUGAUCAAGGGCUUAAAUGGGUCGGA
rnacentral:lncRNA from 1 species